GAACAAGAGCUCCCCCACCAAACCCUAACUCUCACAAAAUUCAUAAAUUGAAGGCUCAAAUCAAGUCAAAAUCGAAAUCUGAGUAUAGAUUAGUGAUCACCUCGACGAAGGGAUCAUAAGGCAAGGAAACAGGACGCCAAGCGGACAAGCUAGUGGCGAUACGCGUUUGAAAGGAUUGCUCUAAAGGUGAAGAUGGACCUAAGCCGGAUGGUGAUCAAGCAAUUAACAAGAACCGAACGCACCAAAUGAAGCUUCCGCAUUUUGUUUAUUUUGUUUUAGAAAUAUGUGAACACUUGAAGCUAUGUUUUUAAAGUUAACUAGUAGCAUGAUGACUUCAAUAUUAUGACCUUGUAGGGUCUUAAGAUCAUGAAAACUUUUUGUA